rnacentral:rRNA from 1 species
UACGGGGGGAGCAAGCGUUGUUCGGAUUUACUGGGCGUAAAGGGCGCGUAGGCGGCGUGACAAGUCACUUGUGAAAUCUCCGGGCUUAACUCGGAACGGUCAAGUGAUACUGUCGGACUAGAGUACAGAAGGGGCAACUGGAAUUCUCGGUGUAGCGGUGAAAUGCGUAGAUAUCGGGAGGAACACCAGUGGCGAAGGCGACUUCCUGGCCUGUUCUUGACGCUGAGGCGCGAAAGCUAGGGGAGCAAACGGGG